CUUUGCUGACGAGUGGCGGACGGGUGAGUAAUGUCUGGGAAACUGCCUGAUGGAGGGGGAUAACUACUGGAAACGGUAGCUAAUACCGCAUAACGUCGCAAGACCAAAGAGGGGGACCUUCGGGCCUCUUGCCAUCGGAUGUGCCCAGAUGGGAUUAGCUAGUAGGUGGGGUAACGGCUCACCUAGGCGACGAUCCCUAGCUGGUCUGAGAGGAUGACCAGCCACACUGGAACUGAGACACGGUCCAGACUCCUACGGGAGGCAGCAGUGGGGAAUAUUGCACAAUGGGCGCAAGCCUGAUGCAGCCAUGCCGCGUGUAUGAAGAAGGCCUUCGGGUUGUAAAGACGUUCAGCGGGGAGGAAGGGAGUAAAGUUAAUACCUUUGCUCAUUGACGUUACCCGCAGAAGAAGCACCGGCUAACUCCGUGCCCGCAGCCGCGGUAAUACGGAGGGUGCAAGCGUUAAUCGGAAUUACUGGGCGUAAAGCGCACGCAGGCGGUUUGUUAAGUCAGAUGUGAAAUCCCCGGGCUCAACCUGGGAACUGCAUCUGAUACUGGCAAGCUUGAGUCUCGUAGAGGGGGGUAGAAUUCCAGGUGUAGCGGUGAAAUGCGUAGAGAUCUGGAGGAAUACCGGUGGCGAAGGCGGCCCCCUGGACGAAGACUGACGCUCAGGUGCGAAAGCGUGGGGAGCAAACAGGAUUAGAUACCCUGCUAGUCCACGCCGUAGACGAUGUCGACUUGGAGGUUGUGCCCUUGAGGCGUGGCUUCCGGAGCUAACGCGUUAAGUCGACCGCCUGGGGAG
rnacentral:rRNA from 1 species